rnacentral:rRNA from 4 species
GAAUUGCAGAUUUUCAGUGAAUCAUCGAAUCUUUGAACGCACCUUGCGCCCCUUGGUAUUCCGAGGGGCAUGCCUGUUUGAGUGUCAUU